CUCUCUAUCCCUAUCUCUCUCUCUCUCUCAAAACCCUAGUCCUCUCUCUCUCUUAUCUCCUCGGCCCUCUACUACAACAUCAUGUAUCUCUCUCCGCUCGAUCUACCGCACAUCAAGGAACAUUCUGCUGCAACAUCAGUAAACGACGAGAGAUACAAGUGGAACUGCAGGCAUUGGGAUUCCAUCAAUGCCUGGAAAUGCAAGCUUGCUUGG